CUACGGCAGUCAUCAGGUAUUAGUAUGAUUAUUUUUAAACAAUACUGGAUUUUCAAUCGAUGACUAACCUGAAAAAAAAAUCAAUCAGCCAUAAUUCACACCAAAUCCUAAUUAAAAACUGUGUGUAUUUUCUCUAUCUAGGACUACAAAAUGUUCUGAAAAAAAAACACCAAGACUGCGAGGACAUCCAUCCACCCAGUGCCCAUCCUUGUCCAUGCCAGGGAAAGCCAAGUACUACCUUGGUAGUUCAUGGUUCACACCAGGUUUUUCUACAACAAUUUCUGUGUUUUGGGGAGAAGUUUCUUCAGAUAAAAUGGUCGAGAUUCUGCCUUUUUGUGCAUGCUGAACAGAAGAAAACUGAACAUCUACAACACAUGUUCUUACCCUAUCUUUGUACCAGUCCUUCUGUUUUCAAGGUAAAAUAUGUUAUACUACAGGUACAAAAUACAACAGAGGUUUAUACUUAAUAAACACCUGUUGUGACAGUAAAAUCUGUCCAAUACAA